rnacentral:lncRNA from 1 species
CUGUUGUGUAAGCAUAAUUGAUUUUACACCUAUUGGACGGAGCUCUGCACCUGUCUCUUUAGCACUGCCACCAUAUCUGGUCUCUAAGCAGCCGUUCUGACCACUGACAGACCAUAGAGCUUACCUAGACCCCAGUUUGAUGCCACAGCCAGGCAGCCUGCAGUGCGUGGAUGUCUGUUGUUACACUCUGGUGGUGUCAUAGAUAGUGCGGUGGAGCAGGAGGUAAUGAAUAUCUGAGAUCCCUACCUCCAGUUCCAAACAGCUCAUGAGUGUGUUAAGAUGAAUAAGGACCAAGGAAUAUUCGUGACUCAUGAAGAGGGUGGCCAUGACUUGGAACUGGCAUGGUAGGGCCUGGCCUGCUGUAUUUCCUGCAGGUACACAGCG